GCUCUUAACUUUCAGAUUAAGGAAUUAAACUUUUUGAAUAAUCAAAGGGAAUCUAUGCGCAGUUGUAGGGAGGGGGCGACGUGGGGGAAAAGUUAGUUUUACAAAGUGAAGCUAACUCAGUUUAAUAAAUAGUUUUAGAAGUUUUUAGUGGUUAACAAAAGACUGCAUCCCUCUGAUGCGAGAACUGCCCAUGUUUCAUCUUGUCCGAGGCUGACCAUCCGCCUGUGCUCUCAAUGUGACUCUUCUAGCCCCUCAGAGACCACACCAGCGAGCAACAUCGCCACCUGCUGGAAGUUAGAGAAAUUACAGAAUUGGAUUAUCUUUAUUCAAAUAUUCUUGGAUUUCAGGGUUUAAAGAGCCCAGUCCCACAGAUGGGACUAUUUUCGAAGAGAAAGUCAUCACUGAAGCAGUUCUUUUCGUUAAAGUUUCCUCAGGGCUGUCCUGUUCUGUCUUCGAGCAGGAUCCUUGACACAGAGAAGCUCCCAGGCACUUCUUCACCUGAUCUGAACUGCUCCAAUUGUAAAAGCAACAUUUUAAGUUGAUGAGACUUGACCUCUUGCCCACCAGAUAACACUUGUUAAAACAGAUUUCAAGUCAUAAUCUCUCCUGAAGACUCUUGGUUCAUUGUCAUGCAUCCCCUGGUACUAUUAUACACAUCAAUUAUAAGAAGAAAGCUAACAGAAAAUAUGCUUCCUUGCCAGAGUAUACUACUAAGAUGGAAUCACAGCAGUAUUUUCUUCUAUGAACUCUAUAGCUUAGCUUAUUAAUAUGCUGAUGAAGCCAUUAGCAGUUUCAACAUUUGCAAUGAAAUCAAUUUGGUUAUACUCAUAAUAAAUUAAAAUUAAAAUAUUUCAAAAAGUCA